CCAUGCCUCUUUUUCUCUCCAUCAGUCUCUCCCUCAUGCUCUCCCCUCCCACCUCUUUACGCACUUGCACUCGAUUACACACAUGCAUACACCCUUAUUGUCUCCCCUCUUACACGCACAGCUGUCUCAUGCUCUCUCUCUCCUCUCCUUCUCACGGCCACAGAGUCAUCCACAGGGAUUAUUGUGGCGCUUCUCGUCCUGCCUGGCAGCAUUGCUUGUGUUCCUUCGUCCUAGACUGAGAAACCUGACUGACUCCUCUGCUUGCUGACUAUCUGCUCAAGCUUUUCCUUCACCUCAUUUGGGAUUUUCACCUCUUGCAAGAAUUGAGGAUGUACAGAAAUCUUUACGGCAUCUACGUAUGAAGCGAAGAAGGACGAACUUCUGAAUGGACAGAUGAAACAGACAUGAGGAAAAAUGUGGCAGGAAGUGUGAAAGGGAGAAGGUGAGGAUAAAGUACAGAGAGAGAGAGAGAGAGAGAGAGAGAGAGGGGCAUCUUAGGACUCAACUGAGAUUACAUAUGGGUGGAUGCAAGGAUUAGCAAAAUCGUGGGGGGAAAAAGUGAAGAAAUAAAGAAUGACAGAGAAGGAAUGACAGCAGAUCGGAUUUGCCUCCCUCCUGAACUAGGCUGGUUUACCCUGAACUCUGGGGUCCAGAUUGAGAAUGUGCAGAACAUACAGCCUGGAGGUAGGGGAGCCAGGCCAUGUUCGCUUGACAGCUACACAGGAUGAGAUCACCGGGACUGAGCAUCAGACAAAGAUAAGUAUAAAAUCUAUAAGUAUAAAACACUUUUUUUUACCAUUAAUCAAAAGACAGUUAAGCAUCAUUCUGCUGGCUACUGCUAUAGCACAGCAAAAAGUAUUUUUCUGUUCAAAGGAAAGAGCUUGCAUUCUAUUUCAUAAAAUUCAUCAACAAUCCACACACACACACACACACACAAAUGCACAGUCAUCUACUGGGGGCACUCCAUCUAAUAACCUGGACUGCAACAGCGGGUGAAAUAGAAGUCUCAUAGUACUUGAUGACCUCCUUUUUAAGCUAGACCCAGGGUGGGGUUUUCAUUAAAAUUAAUUCUUUUACCUGAUGGCUGUCUGAUAGAAUACUUAGUGUUAUAGUCUCUGUGUCCAAUAAUUAAAAAUGCUCCUCAAUACAAACCAGCAUGGCAAUUUACCAUUGAGACAAAAAAUCACAAGUCCAUCCAUGAUGCAUAAAUACCACAUGACCCAUAUAUAACACCAAUUUAAAGAAGUUAUUUAUUAUUUACAGGUAUUAUUUAACUGGCCAUAGACCCCUUACCACAACAAUGUUCUCUGGAUUUGUAGCUACCCUGUUUUUACUUACUAUUUGCUCUAUACUCUGUCUACAGAACUAUUUAUAUUGCUGCGGCUGCCUUGAGGUGGCAGACAUUCAAACACUUGUUAAAAGUCUUGCAGACGGCUCUCAUAAUCAGACGAGUAAAAGAUGAAUACAGAUUGGUUCACCAUUCCUGACAAACAGUGCUGCAUAUAUUGCUGGAAAGUGAACACGCACUGCAGAGGCUCAGUGGCCUCCUUUCAAACUCAUACAGGUUCAGUGGUGGUAAACAUGGUUUUCUCCAUCACACUCAUCCACUCAUUUAACCUUCUGUAAUCUCUGCAAAAGCGCAAUGACCCAUCACUUUUCUUCACUAAUACUUUGGUGCAACCCAGGGGCUAUGCACUCUCACAGAUCAUCCCACUCUCUAACAUCACCAUUAAGAGGCUCUUAAGCUUCUUCAAGAUGUUUCUAUGCUUUGGGCAAAAUACAUUUGGUAAUCUGGUGUUGUUCUACUCCGGUAUGACCAAAUUCCUCACAUGCACCAAAGACCAUACACCACUUUCUCAAGAGAGUGGUUGUUGCUAAUGUUGCAGCUAUUUUUUUCAACUUCAAUCACUCCAAACCCUUAUGUCUAUAGAUUCAUAUCUGUGUGGAGAUUUGGGUUCAAGACUUUCACAGGCACCUAGCUAUUCUGCAAAGUCAUGGAUAUACUGCAUGCUUAAUCCUAUUCCAGUGAAUGCCUGGCAUUAAGAGGAAUGGGAAUAAGCAUACAGUAUAUCCAUGAUACAAACCUGAAAACAGCUUUCCCAUGGAAUAACACUUGAUUAUUGACCUCUCUCCAGCAAUCCACAAGCACAUUCAUGACCAAGAUGACAUAUUCAGGGCCCAGGCAGGAAUCCUCUACUUCAUGUCUUUUUUUCUGGCAAAUGUGCACCAGUCCACAAGAGUAAACAUUUAACUUGUAGGCCAUAAUUUUUUUUUAUUUCAAAUGCUGUGCUUCUCUGUGUACUGAACCAGCAUUUCCUUCAAUUUCUUCAGCGGCCCUUCUUGCCCUUCUUUUCCCCAAAUCCCCCCUUUCUUUCCUCUCACAGGUUCACAAGACAAUGACCAACAGGCAAACUUUGCCAGCUGGUCUAUUAAGAGCUCCUCAGCAAUAUUUUGGAUCUCUGUUCCAUCAAAUGGAAUAAGCCUUUUGAAGAAGGCAAUAUCAUCAGUUUUUUAUGGGAGUGGAGGUUCACAAGGCAAUGACCAGCAAUCAGGCAAAUCAGGUUGGACUGUAAUGAUGGCUGAAUUGCAGAUUUUUCCUUAAAAUCAAAAACGUAUUUUUAAAUUAUGGCUGCUUCCUUAGUUCCAGUUUUCUAACAGGGUCAGUAUCUCAAGGAACCAUAUGAACCAUAUUUCUUAUUACAACCAACUAGCCAAAAUGUCACAUCAACCCCAAACUCGUGACAUAAAAACAAAAUUCUACAGAGGUGAACAUAAAGAAACAUAGACUUGUCACUCUAAAUGAUGACUCAGUUUAAUCCGUAUCCAAUGUCCAGAUGGACACUACUCAAGUGACGACUGCUUGGUGAGGAAUCUCCUGAUAUUGGUCCAUCUGUAAGGACGCUCACUGACACCUCACUCCUGGGCUUGGACAUGUGGGCCAGAAUAUGGGGCAACUCACUGUGACUUUGGUUUAUAUGCAUCACCAGGUGUGGUUGGAACAAUCCACUUGGCCUGAGAGCUAUUCAGCUCUGCAGAAUCUGUAUACACAUUACAGACCUGCCACCAAAUUGGUCAUAGGUAGGAGGGGAAGCUUUAGGAAUCGUAAAGCCAGCAUGGCCAAACAAACCAUUUCCAUGUUCCAACACCUACAAGGGGCUCACCUGCCUUGUGCUAUCUAUGGUCAGGGGAGAACACCCUCAGCCUUCUGGUGGGCAUCUGUGUGCACCUCUUUUACUAUGUAGACAGUGUCUCGCCACUGAAGAAUCUCACAAGAAGUGAUGGGACACUUCAUAACCAAAACUUUGCUCAAUGGACAGUGACUACAUUAGAUCAUUGUGUCCUGAUGGCAAUGUCAUAAGGAUGCAAACAACAGUUCCGCUGCUGGCCCCAAGACUUUUUAGGCAUUGAUGAAUGUGCAAAUGUACAUUAUGACCUAUACAUGUGUUUCUUUUGUAUCUUAUUAUGACUGCUGUAGGGUGCACAAUGCGCCUUGCAUUGUUGGUCAUUUAUAUGUCAUCUGCCUGUCAAACACAGGACACAUCAUAACUGGCAUGUUUUCUCUUGGAAUUGCAGAUCUAAGGGAUUUCUAUUGAUGUCCUUCAUUUUGACCCCAAAGCCUUCCCAGAAUACUGAAGGAUAUUAUAACAGCAAAUGGGGCACUAAAUCAGGAAAGGACAAAAUCACAUAUGGGUGUGGUUGGUCAGGUGUCCACAUGCUUUUGGUCAUAUGGUGUAUCAUCACUAUUUGGCUACUUUUACUGUUUCACAGGUAGACUUGCCAAUGCACUUUACGGUCAAGAGAACUAGAGCAAAGUCUAGUCAAGAUGUCAAGACUCUGUAUUUGUGUCUUCGUGAUUGCCUUCACAAAUUAAUCGUCUACUCUUUUUUUAGCAUAAUGAAAAAAAAAUCAGUAAAGGAGUGAAUACUAUAACCUCAAGUGUAAAAUCUCUGAAGUUACCAGAUUUUUCUUGGGGACAGGAGUUGUUUAGUUGUGCCUAGACCAUUGCACUUUCUGUCUGAAAAACAGUGGAGGAUAGAAAACAAAGACUGACAGAACAGACUGCAUUGCAUUUUCCCCUCAGUUUCCCUUAGCUGUCAAUUGCAAUAUGAUGUAGCAUAAAAGCAAGAGACCAUGAGUUUACAGUUUAGAAUAACAUAAUAAUGUUUGAAUGAGAAGUAGGCACAGAGUUUCUGUGCAUGUUCUCUCUGUAUCCAUGUGGUUUCCCUCCCACUUGCCAAAAACAUGGCAGAAGGUGGAGUGGCUCUGAUAAAUUGCACCUCGCUGUGAAUGUGUCUGUGUGUGUGUGUGUGUGUGUGUGUGUGUGUGUGCAUGUGCAUGGUGCACAGGAUAGGCUCCGGAUCCCUGGAAACCACUGAAAGUAAGGGAGUGAUUUAAUAGUAGUCUAAUAUAUUGCAAAUAUAUUAAGAGGUAACAUCAUGAUCAGAAAAGGAUCCUAUUCAUGAAAAUCAUGUUAAUCACAUGAUCGCUGCAAAUUUCUUAAUUUAACAAUAUAGUUUCCACCUAUAUUUUUGGCUCCCAGUCUAUAAAAUAGCACUCGUUACAGCACCUGCUUUUUUUUACACGAAUGCAUGGAAGUAGCCUAAUAAUCUGUACUGACAGUGGCAGAUUUGAAGCUUAUGUGCUAUGGUUAUGGCUCACUUUAUGCCUAGGUGGAGUUCCUAAGUUUAUCUAAUAAUCAAUAUGGCAUAUAAAAUGAGGUUUGAUCUCAAGAUAAAUAUGGGGUCUGAGAUGGUGCUGUCACCUCUGAUCUCCUUCCUGUGCACCAAAUAAAAAAAUGUGGCCUCUACAGAACUGUUUCAUAUGAUUACUUAAUUAAUAAUAACGUAUAUUUAAUAUUGCUUCUCAUCACUGGAGCUAAUAUCAUGCAAGUAAAUUGGGCAUUUGUUUCUCCUGUGCAACUGCCCACGUAGGCCUGCAGAGACCUAAAAAACAAAAAAAAAAACACUUUAACUGGGUAAAAACGGUUCACUGGGCCAGAUCUGGUACUCUUUUUUCAGUUAGAUCAGUCAGGGAUCUGAAUAAUUAGGUACAAACCUACAGCCAGCCCCAAGAACUGCCUCCAUUUUGGUCUUAGGACAGGCUGCAGUCUCAUCAGUUUGGUAAUGCAUCUACCCAUUACCCAGACACCAUCCAACUGCACACUUGUUACAGGGGUUUUCUUUUAUGUUCAGGUGAUUGAUAUAUAGGUGAUUCCUGUUCCACCAGGUUUGGAUUAGUCUCAGAAAAAGCAAAAGGUUCAAAACUAAUUGAGGAUGUGUAUGUCAUGAGGGUUCACAACAUAUCCUGAUAGUGCACUCUGCUAAAUAAUAAUAGACAGCACUCAUGGAAAUAAUACAGGUGGAAUAUAGGUCGAACAGUGUUGAUACUGUUCUUUACUGGGGACGAGAAUCACUCAACAUGCUGAUGUUGGUAUCUAUUGAGGAUGAGAAUUGCUCAAACUCACUACAGAGCAAACCGUGAGGAAGGUAGGACAGUUAUGAUUGUGCUUUGCAAAUGUCCAAAAGUGUCUCUUGUCACAGGGAUGCUCAGGGCAGACAUAGCAUGUGUCCUUAAGAAAACGAGGUGUCUUCACCUGUGUGAAGUCUGAGGUAUGUCUGUGUAAUCACGUCUUGUACCCAAUGGGCUAAUCUGUCUUUACACAGUGGUAGCAUUCUGCUCAGUGAACACAGAAGGCCUGGGGUAAGGAUGCGCAUGGGCUUUUAUUUAUCCCAUGGCCCCUUGGCAUGGUCAGUGGGCAGUAACUUAAACAAACAAAAAUGCAGCUUUUCAAGUGGCUUCUCGCUUAUCCUUCACAGAAUCUAAAAAGCAGUAUUUUUAUGACACUCUUCCCUGAACCUAACCCAGACCCACAACCAGCUAUAAUGCAGCUAUUGCCAGGGAACAAACUGAAAUGACCAUUGGUUUAAUAAAAGGAUGAUUUCGAUGUCUAACAAAUUUGGAGGUUGAAGCUGAGACAGCAUGCAAAAUCAUUAUUGCCUGUCUUGUUAAAAGCGCUAUACAAAUUGAAUUGAAUUGAUAAUACACAACAUUGUCACCAUCAGAAAUUAGAUGGCUCCUGAGAUGGAGCUGCAGCUUUAUGAUGACGUUGACACAGUGCACCUUGACCAACACAGAAAGGACAGAAUAGUGGGCAAAAUUAUACAAUAAAUCUUACAAUAUUUUGUCUUAUCUAGACCUGUGUGUGUGUGUGUGUGCGUGCAUCUCUGCCACAUGCAAAGGUAUUUGAUAAUGUGGCAAAUGAGAUAAAAUAACCCUGAGUGUUUAUGAAUGACCAAUGACGCAUGUUUUGUUGAAUAAUCUUAAGCUUUUUGUCUUAUUUUAGUACAGAGCAAUGUCAGCCACUGUUCUUUCCUUCUUUCCUGGCUUUUAUUUAAUUUUGUUUUAUUUAUUUUUUUGUGACAAGUGUCAAGCCACGUCCCAAUUAGUGUGUGUUGUGCUAGUAAGGGAUAGGUGUGAGUGUGGGUGAUUCAAAGGGUGUGAACUGCAAUGUAAGUGAGUAUCAUUUUACAGUGUGUUGAAUGUGUAAAAAAGUAUCCUACUGUCAUGUUGGAGUGUGAAAUUUCAUAUGUUGUCAUGGUUAUUUCUACUAUAGGAGUUGCUAUUUUGAAGAGUGUGAACAGCUUGUCUUAUCUUAAACAGAAACUGUUUAAGAUAAUUGCUACUGUUGAUUUUAGCAUUGCUCUUGCUCUCUUAGGGUGCUUUCACACUUGCCAUUUUUUUCUCAACUGCCAGCCCUUGCUUUAUGUAUAACCCUUGGGGAAGUGGCAGCAGUGGAGUGCUUCUGAAGUUGGAAAAAAAAAAAAACAUUUCAGGAAAGCAUCAAGUGAUGGCAAGUGGGUUUUUUUGCCCUCCAUCCAAUCAGGUCGCAAGUUGAGGGAAGGCAUGAAAACAAACAAACAUGCCGGUGAAAAAAAAAGUCUUGUUAAUGAGACAGGAUAAUAUGAUUUAUAAAAUAUUUCAUCAUCAUUAUUACAACACGGUAAUGUAACUACAAAAAUAACAACUUGUGAUUUUGGGGCAUUUAUCAGUACAGGAUCUGUGGCUGUGUACAGUCAAAUUGCACAAGCAGCUCCUCUCUUGAUUUUCUGCCUCCAAAACUGCAGCAAAGGCAAACAACCUCCUCAUCACCAUGGUUACAGCAAUCUUUAUAAUAUUUAUCACUACUCCAUUAAAUCUAGAUAACAAGACAGGCUAGUUAGGACUGGUAUGUCGUGAUUUAAUUUUUCUAAUAAAAGUUGCUUGCCUGAACCUUUGUUUGUCAUUAAUCUGAUAAUUGUGCUAUGCCAAAAGAAUGGGUAUGCGUAUGCAAGCCAUAGGAGGUUUGUUGGGAAUGUUUAAUUCCUUCUUUUUGGAAAUGAUUUCUUGUUAAAGCAAUGGACAAACAUCUGUGUAUCAAUGUGCACAGGGCAAAUUCCUAUAGUAUACAACACAGAACAACAAAUAGGAGAUAAAUGUAAAAAUGUAUACAUUUAAAAUUGAAUAUAUAUAUCCUGAAUUUGUAUAUUUGUGUGAAGCUGCUUUGUGACAGUGUCCAUUGUUAAAAGCACUAUACAAAUAAAAUUGAACUGAAUUGAACAAAUAUUCACUGCAAUAUGUUGAAAUGUCAAGACAAAUGUCUAUGACAAUACCUGAUAUGCUGACCUAAGAUCUCAGAUCCAUGUGCUCUCUAGCGCCAGAGACUGCAUUCCACCUGUAGUCUUUACAGUAGGUCUGAAAUGGUCAGAAAGCCAUGCCACAGAAAUAUCUGUGUAUUAUUAGCAUGUAUUAUUGCAUGACAGGACACAGCCUAAAGUGAAGCCCACUUACAGUUCCUUUAAACCCUUAUUAUCCUCCUGCCCUAUUUAUAUUGCUAAAAUUCCAGUACAUUACUCUUCAUUGUAUAUACAAUAAAUAAGAUUUUAAUUACAGUAAAUGAUAAAAACACCUACUGAACUUUAACUACUGGACCUUCCCUUUCAAAUGGUCUGUUCUUUAUUCACAUAUGGCAAGCAUUUCUUAUGAAACAUACUGUAUUUCACCUCAUUUAAAUACCCUGGAUGUGGAAGGAUGUGUUUGCGUUAGGACAAAAUGCUCACCUUCACAACUGAAAGCAGCAAACAUUAAAACAAACAAACAAAAAAGAAUCUAUAUAUCUACCAUAUGGCUGGUUUCUAAUCGAUCUGUUUUUGGCUUUGUUGCCCAGAUCAUUGCUGCCUCAGAGAACAACCUUGAAAAUGAUGUUAGAGAGAUUAUGAUGAUGAUGAUCUAGGCGUACUGUAUAAAGACACGUGUGUCUGUAAUUCCUGCUGGAUUAUUCCAGGUUUGUGGGACUAGUUCUUGUGCACUACGGGUUGAGGUAGUUGGUUGUAUGGUUUUGCAUCAUAAUCAGCCUGGAGUUAACUGUACAACCUUCUAUCUUUCCCCGCGGUGUCACCACCCCGACUGAUCCUAACCUCACGUGGACUGAUGCUGCGUUCAUGGUGCCUUGUAAGUGGUAAUUUCCAAGAGAGUGGCUACCGGUGCUAUUCUACUAUAGUGAACUUCAAACAUUCGUGCGACAUUUUACUGAAAUUGCAGCACAGCAACAACAGCAGACAAUAACGACAAGCAACAAGCUAGCUAGCUAAUGUUAGUGAUAAUGUUGAUGAUUACCUUCUCAAAGCAGUGAUUACUAUGGUCAAUGUUAUAGAUUUAAUCAAGUACUGUGUUUGUAUAUUAACUGGUCUAAAGCCAAUAAAGUGCUAUAAACUAAUUUAAAAGUAGAGAACAGGGACUUUAUGCUGUUCACAGUGUGAGCGGCCAUGUUGAUUUGACAUCACACUGCUAGUUGAGAAGACAACCCUAAUUUAACGUGCUGAAAUUUCAAGCUGAAGGAGCGUGUUUGGUGGUUUUUACUGGUUGCAGGUGGGGAAUUACAAGUUGCAACUUCACCUCGAACGCAGCAUGAGUGACAUUAGAGACCAUUCUCCCAAGCUUUGUGAAGCUUAGAGGGGAAAUCUCAUGUCUCUGUAUUUUUAGUUGAGGCCCACUCUAUGCCAUGCUUUUCCUGGAUUUCUUGGGGCAGGGGUGUUUGUCAAUUUUUUUUUAAACUAGUGCCUUUUCACAAUCCAUAUAGCCAUUCAAGGCAGACAGGGCAAUGGAGCAGAAGCUGCAGCAAGCUAAAUUCAAGCUAAAUUCAAGUUAAAUUCAAGUUAAAUUCAAGUUAAAUUCAAGAUAAAUUCAAGAUAAAUUCAAGUUAAAUUCAAGUUAAAUUCACAUGUCUUCACAAGCUUUCCAGGGAAAGUCAGUGAGAAAGUGGCUGCUUAGCAGAGCAAUUUAAAAAAAAUUAUUUUGCUUGACAUUUAUUUUAUUUAUUUAUUUUUUAUACUUAGGAAUUUAUCAUUUUAUUAAACACAAUGGCUAGAUAAUUUAUUGCACUGUAUUUAUGUAUGUGAAAGUGAAAUUGGCCAGUGUAAAGGUCUAAUGAUAGAAUAUGUACAGUAUAAGUGAAUUGAGAUUUGUUUAUUAUUAAAAUGCUUAUAAAGAUGUAAUCUCAUCAGAAAAGGCAAACAUUUUUAAUCACUCUAAGUAAACACUAGUAUCACAGCACAUAUUAUAUACACUCACCGGCCAGUUUAAUAAGAACACCUGUAUACCUGCUCAUUCAUGCAUAACCUACUUAGAAGCGAGCUUGUUCAAGAGCUACCAGAACCUCCGACCGACAGCCACGCCCUCCUCUCAGCCAAGCCAUGUGUACUCUCCCAUUCACUAAUUACUUAAACGGCUUUGUCAAACUGUUACAAAAAGGGCACAAAUAGAACGGACUGGAUGUAUAGCACUCAAAAACCUGCAUACUUUCACUCCUUCAUGACUGACCUAUUUUGUCCAUAGUGAUCUGCUGGCUAUAAUUACAAAACUGUUCACCUAAACACAUGGCGUGAGACAGUGAGACAGUGAACAAAUGGUAUAUUUGGGGUUAUUUUGCUUCCCAAUGUUAGUGCAAGAGGAAUAUUGAUGUGUACAAAAACACUUUGUUAUGCAGCUACAAGUUCCACAAUCAUGACAUCUAUGAUAUUAAAUAAUGUGCAGCGUAUAGAAAGUGAGGUUGUGUGAUUUCACUGGGGUUCUGUGAAGUUUGCCUGGUCCCAAACCUCCUUAAAAACACAGCUUAAAAAAUAAUAUAAAAUAAAAGAGCCAAAGGUUUUACUUUUUGUUACUGAGGUUAAUUAGCAGCAUUAGUAAUUAUGUCAGUGGAAGAUUCCCACAAGGAUAGUAAGACAAAUGUGUGUGUGUGUGUUUGCCUGUGUAUGUGUGAUAAUGAGCUAUUGAUCUGUGGGUAAUGUGUAUAGAUUUGUAAUAUUUGCUGUGAGCUUUUCAUAAUUAUUUGUCUUGUUUCCUUUGAAUAAAACAAAAAAAAAAUAGGAAUUUUUUUUUUGCCCUUUGAAGACAAAAGGAUCAUUCCAUCAUGUAAUAUCAUAUUGUUAAAAUUGAUUCAAUUUGCAGGUUCAGUAAAAAGCUUGGAGCUGCCAGAGUAAGAGAGCAGCGUUUGCUGGAGGUGCACAUUUUUCCUUUGUCUGGAGUUUUUCACUCAGUUCUCAGAUCUGAGUGCUCAGUGUCUACUGCUAGAGGCUACCAGAUUAAACUAAGAGUAACUGCAGUCAGUAAAAUGUGGGCUCGAAUUUAUGUACCAUAUUUUAAUUGUUUAGAUCUUGAAUGACUUACAGUAGAAGGCUGGAGUUGGGGAAAUACCUUAAUCAAUCCGUCCACAUAGCUAUUUUGUGUCAUCUUUGCAUUUAGUGCAUUUUGUUGUUUUGUCAGCAACCUUUCAGCUUAAAUCUUUGCAAAUCUGGAAUUUUAUUGCAGCUGUACAGAAAUUCUGAAAUGCCAUGUAGAGUGUGGAGAAUUUAUGUUAAUAAGCUGGUACAACUGUUAAUUAAUGGAUAAAAGUCAGGGUGUGUUUUUGUCCCAAUAUAUCAUCUUGACGUUCUUCAGCCUUGGGACUUGCAGCCUGUCUGAAUAAAAGUGCUAAACCUAAAGCCACAUCAUGUAACUUUUCUCUGCUAUAGUGUUGCUUAGUGGGAUAAAACAUGAUAUACAUGUUACAAAUUUUAUAAUCUGAAUGUAACCUCUGAUUUAUUCGGAUCAUUUUAUAUAAUAAUGUACUGUCCAUUUUCCUUUUUAAUGUUCACUUAAGAUCCAGGAUUCUGUACUUUGUUUCAAGGGAAUACAGACAGAAAUAUCUCAGCAGCUUGAAAAGUCUAGUACUGCACCUUCGAGUAUGACUCUGUGUCCCUGAGACCCUUAACCUGUGGUGUCCCUUCAAGGUCACAGGUGAGGUCCUUGGGAAUAUAGAGUAUACAUUCAGUCCUGUAAAUUACUCACUUUCUUUUCUCUUUACAUGCUUUACUUAAGGUUUAUAUUGCCAAGAGAACCUUAAAGGAAAUACUGAAACAUUUUGUAUAGCAUGUUUGGAUGAUGCUCUUUAAUAAAAAAAUAGGAAAAUCUGUGCUGAUUAUACAAUUAGUACAAUUAGUAUAGUAUUAGGUCUUUUGAUGGAUUCCCAUUUAAUUAUGUUUAGGUAUUUUAAAUGAGCUUGAAUUAAUCAUUUUAUAGAAUAAAUAAUUUAGAGCCAUUUACAUUUAUUUAAUUUGAUAAAUAAAUAACCUGAGUGGUGCCUUUGAUGUCAUUACUAUACAGCAAGUGGUUACCUGUGUUAAACACUGUAACAAACUGAGGCUUGUAGUAGUGUCAUGGUGGACCUUGCUGAUGGUGGGGACAGUUCCUGUUGGUUGGCUUCUGUGAUCUCAUCAGUCAGAGUGUCCAAUCAGAAGUCAGCCCAGGUACAUGACCCCUGCACAUGCCUCCUGGACCAGCAAGGUGUAUCAGGCCUGAAGAACAGAUCAUUUUGUGCUUAUUAGUGUCAUAUAAAUGCAUUAAUGAAUUAUAACUGUCUGCAUGGGCAGCUUCCAGUGUAAGAACCAGUCUGUCAUGGAACUACACUACCCAUCAGCCCCACACAUCACAUGACCAAGUCACAUGCUUCACUAAUUACUCUCACCUGUGUCUUCUUAUGUCUUGUUUGUAUUUAAGUUCCAGUUUUGCACCGUCUCAUUGUCAAGCAUUCGUUGUUGUCGUUUGUUGUCAUGCGUGCCAACACAUUAUCGCUUAUAGUCUAGAUGUUUCUUGCUUCAUAUUCAUUUGUUCACCCUUUUGUUUGUUUUGUUUGUACUUUCCACAAUAAAUUACCGGCAUUUGCAUUCGCCUCCACCACCGAUUCCUGACCCAUUAUAAAUAUGAUAUAACAAUGCAUGACAUACAUAUAGCUACAAUGGAUUAAUUUAUACAUGAUCCAAGAUGGCGGCACGACAGUAGCACGCAGCGGCCGCUCCGGAUCCAAAAUUUUUGCUAUUUUUGUUUUUAGCCCAACUCUUCAAAGGCACAUGGACAUCGGAGAGACCGGUGUUCGUGUAUAUCAUCUCCUCUUUGCAAUUUUUUGCACACACCUGUAUUCAAUUUCUGCUGCUAUAAAUAUUUAUUAUAUAGUGUAUAUUUACACUCUCCACCUGGCUGCUAUGUUUACAUUCAGCCAUUGAUUUUGUCAAUCUUUUGCACUACUGUUAUAAGAUUCACUUUUUUAUUAGUACUGUGUGCUAGUUGGUGCUGCACUGUAACUCACUGUGCCCAUUGUCUUGUUUUGAUAGUUUUUGUACUUUGUGCUGUCUGCACAUGUUUGCACUGUGCACUUUAUGUGAAUAUAUGUAACGUCUACUGUAGUUCUGUGUUUUGUUUUAUGUAGCACCUUGGUCCUGGAGGAACGUUGUUUCGUUUCACUGUGUACUAACUAGCUGUAAAUGGUUGGAAUGACAAUAAAGCCACUUGACUUGCCUUGAAAUAUAGAAAUAAUGCUAAUUACAUGCACGUAAUUACAAACAUACAAUAGGUCAAUACACAAAAUAGUAGGAAUCCACAUAGGUCAAUAAAAAAAAAUUACUGUUAACAUCAGAGCUUGGGUAUGUAUUGUGGCACUAUUUUUUUUUAUGCAGUAAACAUAUUUUCCUCUGCAUGUCAUAAACUUGUGUCUAACCCUGAUCCCCUGCUGUACUCUAUAACAGACAUUUGACUGACAAAUUUUAAUCCACUGAUGAUCCAAGAACCAGAACAACUCCACACCCCACCCAGUACAGGCAUUUUAGCACUUCCACUCAGCUGAUCAUUGACUGCACCUGUUAAAUUCUAAUUUAGUUUUGUCUAUAUAUACCAGCUCACUGUCUAUAAUCUUUGCCAGGUUUUACCAUUUCCCAUGUGCAUUUCUGAGUGCUGUUUUCUCUGUUUGCUAUUCCUUGUUUAGCUUUAGCUUCUGCCCUUUGUUUCUGAUUUUGAUUUCCCUUCAUUGCUCUAAUUUCCUGCCUGAUUUCUGACUACAAUUUUGACUGCUGAUUUGCAUACUCAAUAAAAGGUUACAUUGUUUACAUCUAGCUUCCUCUGCUUAGUGACAUUCUGUGCAUGGUGCAGAAGAGAAUUUAAAACUCACAGAUAUAAUAUAAAUGCCUUCCCCAAACUGUUGCCACAAAAUUUGAAGCACACAAUUGUAUAGAAUGUGUUUGUAUGCUGUAGCAUUACAAUUU